AUUGAACGCUGGCGGCAGGCUUAACACAUGCAAGUCGAGCGGAGGGAGGUAGCUUGCUACUGAUCUUAGCGGCGGACGGGUGAGUAAUGCUUAGGAAUCUGCCUAUUAGUGGGGGACAACAUUUCGAAAGGAAUGCUAAUACCGCAUACGUCCUACGGGAGAAAGCAGGGGAUCUUCGGACCUUGCGCUAAUAGAUGAGCCUAAGUCGGAUUAGCUAGUUGGUGGGGUAAAGGCCUACCAAGGCGACGAUCUGUAGCGGGUCUGAGAGGAUGAUCCGCCACACUGGGACUGGGACACGGCCCAGGCUCCUACGGGAGGCAGCAGUGGGGAAUAUUGGACAAUGGGCGGAAGCCUGAUCCAGCCAUGCCGCGUGUGUGAAGAAGGCCUUAUGGUUGUAAAGCACUUUAAGCGAGGAGGAGGCUACUUUAGUUAAUACCUAGAGAUAGUGGACGUUACUCGCAGAAUAAGCACCGGCUAACUCUGUGCCAGCCGCCGCGGUAA
rnacentral:rRNA from 1 species